AGCACACAGAUUCUUUCUCCACCACAUGGCUGCUGCUGGGGGAUGGGGCAGGCGUGGUGUGGGCAAUUCAAGACUAUCUUUUCUAUCCUCUUCGGCACCUCUUUCAGUGAUAUGAAGUUAAAACCAGGGAGAAUGAUUGGUGAAGGCUUCUAUUUGGUCAACUUGCUCUGUCUUUAUAGCCAAUUUAUAUUGAUAAGAGUUUCUCUCUAGAUACCAUUUGCGGUAUUCCUGAGUCAGAAGAGAGGAAAGGUGAUACUGCCACCCCCUGUAUGUAUUUCCUUUUAGAUGUGGGAUGUGGUAGGCAGCAUGUUCCCUCCCCAGACUUCUCUCCGAGAGCUGUCUAUGCCCUAAUCCCUGCAACCUGUGAAUAUGUUAUGUUAGUUGGCAAAGGGGACUUUGCAGAUGUAAUUAAAGUUACUGACCAUAUAAUGAGGAGAUUAUUCUGGAUUAUCCAAGUAGGCCCAAUCUAAUUACAUAAAGCCUUCAAAGCAGAGAGCUUUCUCCAACUGGAGGCAGAAGAGAUGCAGCAGCAGCAGCAGCAGCGAGAACAAUUCAAAGUACAGGGACUCAAUGGGAACUUUCUGGUUUGAUGUUGGAGGGAGCAGCAUGAUGAGGAAUUUGCACAGCCUUAAGAGGCUGAGGGAGGCUCCUGGCUAACAGCUAGCCAGGAAAUAUGAUCCUUAGCCUUGCAGUCAUGAAAACUGAAUUCUUCCAACAACUUGAAUGAGUUAUCCCUCAGAGCCUUCAGAUAAGAGUCCAGUUUGCCAGCAAUUUGAUUUCAGUCUGUGAAACCUGGACCAGAGGAACCAGCUGAAUUCACCAGACUUCUGACCCACAGAACUAUGAGAUAAUACAUUGAAUACAUUGAAGUUGUUUAAAGGAGCUCAAUUUGCAGUAAUUUGUUAUGGCAACAAUAGAAAACUGACAUAUGGAGGUAUUGAUAUAGUCAUGAUUUUGAUGACUAACUAGUUUGUGAUCUGGAUAUGAAGUGUCACCAUGCUACAGUGCCUGAGUCUGCUUCAGAUUCUUCUACUUCUUGGCCAUCUUUAUUGGGAAAAUAAGUAUGUGAAAUAAGUAUAGUCUAUUGCCCUUUUUGAGUACCACUGGUUAAUUAAUUUUGUUAUUUUCAAGUGUAUGUGCUUUAAUUCACAUGGCAUUAAAAGAAUCGGUAGUAUAGUUUCACUCAGCCAGAUGAAUCCAGAAAUCUCUUGCUCAUUGAAUCUUCAGAAAUGAGAGUGAGAGCAUUCCAUGAAUCUAGAAUCAAAACACAUUAGUACAAAUAAAGAUCACUAAAAAUAAAUAUGUA
rnacentral:lncRNA from 1 species